UACAGAGGCGGCGAGCGUUGUUCGGAUUUACUGGGCGUAAAGGGUGCGUAGGCGGUUCCGUGUGUCGGAUGUGAAAGCUCACAGCUUAACUGUGGAAUGGCAUUCGAAACUACGGGGCUAGAGUACCGGAGAGGAGAGCGGAAUUCUCGGUGUAGCGGUGAAAUGCGUAGAUAUCGAGAGGAACACCGGUGGCGAAGGCGGCUCUCUGGACGGAUACUGACGCUGAGGCACGAAAGCUGGGGGAGCAAACAGG
rnacentral:rRNA from 1 species